rnacentral:lncRNA from 1 species
ACUUUGCUCUUCCUAUCCUAGCCCUAUGAGACCUUACAUGCUGGUUUCUAGUCUUCUCCACCGGAGGUAACAGUUUGCAGUCAAAACUGUAACGGUUGUUGGUGUCUGCUCAUAGCUUCUUGUUCCUCAAUCUAAUUGAUCGCAUAUAUAACUCCGAUCACCUAUCAGUACCAGGCUUGGUAUCGGACCGUACAACCAAGCGGUGCUACUCCACCAAGGAGGAAUCGGUACCGGCAGCAUAAAACCAUGCAAAAACAUCUCUGUAUUCAGCGGUAAGAACAGCUUUUUUCUCGUCUGAAGAUUGCAGCCCUCAGCUGAGUAAGAUGGGGGGCUGUCCUCAACCGACCUGAUCGUCCCAAUCCUCACUAAAAACAGACAGAUCUCAUAUCUUUACUGAAUACGCCUUUCGCUGUUGGAGGAGCACAUUCUACCGUAUCAACGGGAUUAAAGCAUGGCGGUAGCGGUAUCCUAUAUAUGGUUGGUAUGGUACCGGAACUGGGUAUCCCAGCUUUUCAUGAAAUCGAAGCAAAAGAACUCGUUCGUUAGCGGUUACAAUAGAAACCGUACUAUAAUCAACCCAUAUAAGCACAAAGGGCUCUCUAAUCGCAGUCCCGCUUCCCAGAGGAACAUAGAGUUCCGAUCGCAUCUAUUAGUAUAGGAGGGAUGCCUGCCGUUCCUCCAUUAUAGUAUGAAAAAAAACUCUCUCAAGCCAUAGCCUCUUGAUCAUAUCUAUCGAACUGAUCACGGGAAUGCUGGUUCAAGGUCAAGGUUUGGACCUCCACUCCGAAAUACAGUCUUCGAUCGAAAUUCAAAGGCAUUGCUGGCACAUACCUAAAGAUCAAAGACAAAGACUUCAACAACCGCUCGUGCAUCCAUCUAGCUAGAUUCAUCUGGAAUGAAGGAGUAAGCCCCUAAGAGGUUAGACGCCGAAUCAUGAUAAGCAAGUCGACCCCCCUCAGUGACAGUAGGAAUUUGUCUGCUAAAAGGCAAAUUGCCUUGCCUAUCUUUGGUUAAAGCUCCCCCUGCCUGUCCGAGAUCCUAAGAGGUUGGUCGCAGGUUUGUUCGGGACUUUUAGAAACGACUGCAAGCCUGCCUGGGAAUAAAAGAAGUGAUCGUUAACGACGGCUUUCGGGAGGUUCCACCCACCGGUCUAUUAUUUUUGAGAUUCAACGACUGGGAGAGCUUCUUUUCUGCCUUUUAACGGUACGCUUUUCUGCCUAAGUCACUAGCUUAGCCGCUUUUUACUCGUCAAAGUACGCUUAUUAUUCCCUAGCCUCCCUAGCCGAUUAGCUCCUAACCUAUGAGCGCCCACAAUGAACUUCAAUUGUCCCAGUGGAUCAAACAACCCCACUGUUUCUGGCAUUGGACCAACUACUACAACGUAUAAUGGUUCAACAGCCUUAGAAUGAGAAGUCGAUCUAACUCCCACUUGAACGGGAACAGUCUCUCUCACCNAAGUAAGUUCCGGGUCCUUGAUACAGAACACUUGUUAUCCGUGGAAAGACCACGCUAGGGCCUAAGUGCUAUAACUGGUGAGCUGCCCGAUUUCUGUAUCAGCAAAGGACCCACCUUGUCCAGUAACCAUUCUGAGAGGGUGUACGAGACUUAGCGAAACUGACUUGGCCGUCAAUCACACACAAAAAGGCGGAUCAGUACAAGACGGCGGACAUUGGUGGCUGUAAGUCAGAAGUAGGGUACCGAUACUGCAGCGAUCGCUCGGUAGUAGGUGGCUACUAUCGCCAUGAGAAAAUAAUGGUCAAAGGCAUGUCGGGUGAAGAAGGUGGCUCCAUACCGGGGAAUUGGGAUUCUAACAAUAAGGAAUGGUUCGGUUUUUCAGUAGAGUCCUAUUCUAUUCCUGACGAAGGAAUAGAGUAAGGACUUGGAAGUUCGAGCAGAGAGCAGAAACAGAAUAUGACCUUCCCCAGGAGGGGUAAGAAGAGAGCUUCUUAUAUGCGUUCGUGCUCCACACCCGUGGAGCGCUUCACUCGCUUCAGCUUCUUAUAAGACUCUUUUCUUCCCUAUCCUUUCGAGGAGGGAAAUUUUAUUUCGUAAGGUUCGCUUAGCGCAGGCGAGUCCCAAGCAAGUACUAGUUUAUACUAUCUAUAGCAGCCAAGAGUUCACAUCUGGUCAGUCUUUUCGACAACUUUGACUGUUAGGAGGAUCCCUCAACUCUUUAUCUUUCUCUUUCAUGUUUAACCCCAUGACAUUCCAGACUACAGCCUUCAUGAGACAGUCUUAGUGAUGGAAUCUUUACUCGCCUUUGGGCAUUCCCCUAGUUGCUUUGGCCGGACCACCUUUAUCAGGUUUUGAUUUGCCUUUUCCUUUGCUUCUGCUUUCUGGCUUUCUGGAUGAUUAGAGAUCUUACUAGCAAAAGGGAGAAAAGCUUACCUUAGUUACGGUUAAGUCAUCACUUCGGCUAGUUCGUAAAAGAGCAAGGAAGCACUAGUCCGAGUACACGAAGACGCUGCCCUAUCUAUCUUAUCUUUCUCCUCUCGAGAACGGUAACAAGCAGACGUAGCACACGCACUUUACUAAUAGCGGGAAUCACAGACCAGCCCUACAGUUCCUCUCUUUCGAGAGUCGAAAUAGGAUUGGGAACAAUAGGAAUGUCACCAUCCUUAUACAAUUGAUAACAAGCGAUCGGACUCAAAAUUGGGUACUAGUCACAUUCCUAGCGAGGCAUGACAGAACCUAAGUCUUUACCAAUGAAACAUGGAUUUUUUCCAAUGCCAAUGAGUCCUUUUAGUCUCCUCCGUCAUGAAGACUCAACUAAGGCAACUCACUAUUGCCACCCGGGGCGCCUUCACCGACUCAGGACAGGAGCUCAGCAUCGUGCGGUUCACCCAAAAUGCGCAUGUGCCUUAUCUCUCCCCCAACGACUGUGUAACGGAGCCACCGCCUACUUACUCGGGGUUGGAAUGGUAUAAAUAAGGUUAUGCUGGGGGUUGUAUACGAUACGGUGGUUUCAGUGAUAAUAAAAGCAGUACGGUUCUAGCAAGCAAGUAAGCCAAUCAGUGCUGCUGUUCUGUUCCUCAAGGUGGUUCAAUCCCACCCGAUAAAGGCAUAGGCGGCGAUACAGUGAUAGAAAGUCCUUCCUUCAGUCCCUCAUCAGGCCUUCAUUCAGGCUAACGGUUGGCAUUUCAAUUAGUAAUUCCUCGAGCUAAGUAGGUAGGGAAGGCUAUCGCAUCGGUAUCCAACUGGAUGUUAAGCGGGUCCAUCCACUCGAGCGAGGAAUAGGCCCCCGCGGAGGGAAACGUUCCUAACCCAAGAAGCAAGUGGAUAAGACUAGCUCUAGCACUAACGCUCGCUCUUGCAAGUGACCGACGUGCUUCCCGAUGAGGCGAAGCACGAGGGAACGUAAGAGAACGUAGCUGUAGAAAGCAGUAGCAGGAAGGCUGGCCCCCUAACUUAAGAGUUUGCGGGAAGAGACAAGAACUUAUUCUAUAGCAUUUUCAAUAGUAGCCCUUCUUCCUUCACUUCAACGGCAGCAGCAGGGGAUAUUGCCGUUCUAUAAUAUAUAAGAUAAUAUCGGAGUCGAAGGCAAAAGAUUCAAUUCUUCCGAACCUGGCAUUAUCAGAGAAAAAAGAGUAGAAUUUAGCUUACGCCCUUGGCUACUCUACUACGCUAUGAAAAGCACCAACAGUGAUAAGGCCUCCAAGUGCAGCGACAGGGUCGACAUCUCUAUAUGUUGAUAGAUACCCGCGAGAGUCACUCGCUUCUUUAAGCCUGGAAGUGAAGGAACUAUCUUCUCUUGAGCCAGGUAUUUCUUGAUUGAAGAUGUCAUUUGCUACGAUUCCGAACCGCUGCGCACCUGUCCUCUUUCUUUAGCGAGAAGGAAUUGAGGUAGCACCUCCAGUAUGAUUCUGAGGUCUUCGAGGUCCUAUCCGAAAUUCCCUUUUUAAAGGGAAGGGCACCCAGUGGUUGGAGGAAUCUCCGGAACAGCUUCUGGGCUUAACCAACCAGAGCAAAUAGAGGAUGUAUUGACUGAAAGAAUGCAUGUGAACUUCACUAAGACAUAAACUUACCGUCCAAGCAUCAUUAGGGUGGCCUGAGGAUUGGUUCCUGGUGAUACACCAAACACUGAUCCAUCCACACACAAAGUGAACCAAUUCCAAUGACCCUAAGAUCACGAUCAACACCCUCCCCACCACGCAGCCCCAUGGUAGUGCCAUAUGGUGCUUACCGUCGGCGGCAGAAUCCGCCAUCUGAACAUAGUUUGUUUGGUCAAUAGGCAAUGCAGGCCCUACAAAUCUGAAGUCUUGACCCCUAACCAGUUCCUGAACUUGAAUCAUUCAUGCCUGUUUCUGAGCACAUCCCCUAUCUUUCUUGUGCCAUUCACACAGCGUUCACAUCAACUGGGUUGUGGAAGUAAUUGAAUCUGACAAUAGGAUUGAGCUUGACAUCUGUUGAAGCCAGUCUAAGAAACACUCGAGACUGGCCCUGCAAUCUUCUCAAUGAGGGUAGCACUGUGAGGUAAAGAGGUGAGGAUGGUGUACGGAUGAACACAGAAUGAGCAGGGGAUGCAAAAGGAAUGACAUUUGAUGCUGCUUGCUUCUAUGUAAGCCCCUCAAUCUGUAUCCCCACAAACUUGUAUCAGUGAGUGCUCAAAAUUGAGGGGACAAUAGGAAUACCAUUCCGAUGGGAAGUCGCUGGCGUUGAACACGACUUCAGGUACUUGGGUCUGAGCAAAGGAAAAGGAUAAAGAAUCGUUUAAUGCCAGUAAAAGAAAAGAAGAAGGUUGUCGAGGACUACCCUAAGCUACAAGUAGGCAGAACUUUCAGUUACAAUGUCUAGGUUGGGAAAGCCGCCUUUCUAAAGCCAAUCGAUUAUCGGAUUUCACCAACCAACUACCACUACCAGGGGAUUCCUAGAUCCGCUCUCAGAUCGCAUUAAGAUUCCAAACGGAAUGAAAGCAGGAAAUUGAUUAGCUAAAGAUUCCAACGGAAUGAAGCAGGAAAUUGAUUAGCUAUAGUAGCUGCAACAAAUCUCGUGACGGUGAUCAAACAGCAUUAGCUACGUCUCGUCUCUUGACGAGUACUGACCCCUUAUAAACAGAUCGAAAGGUUACGAUUCACUCCGGUGCUGCUUGCUGGUGGAGCUUGGGAGUAUCUCAAUCUCAACUAUGAAUAAGAAGUCGAAGAAGUAAGACUCCCUAGAUCUGCCUCUGACUUACCUACCUUCCCUGACUAGCUAGUUUGGUUGGUAUCUAUGGAUACCUCCUUUUCAGCUCAUACAUAAAGUCCAUCCUUGAGUUCGCUGCUAAACGAAGACGGGAAGGAUAGCUGAGGGGGGCAAAAGAUCGAUUCGGUUUGGACGCUCAUCUCAGACAGCUGGUAAGGCGGACAGAGACCGUUUCAUAGUCAUAAAAUUGGGAACUCCUAUCCCGAGGUAAGAAAGAAUAGACGACCUACUAAAGACAGAUCGUCAAAUGGCGACGUAUAUAAAGAAGUGGCCGGUUCCUCACAAACUGAAUUCCUUUCUCGAGUUGCUGUUUGCCGAAGCUGAGCUUGAAGAGCUUGUUCCUCCACUCUUGCUGCUUUCUUUGCUAUUGCUUCUGUUGAAUGUAAGAGGGAUGAAGGGCGAGUACAGUCUCUUGAUCCUCUAUACCUGCCCGACUUGGGCAUUUAGCUACGAGAAUAACUCAUCCCCUUUGAUCCCGCUCGAGUGGGAAUAUAGGAAGCUAAGGAGCUAGGUGAAUACCCGAUGAGACCCUUCUUUAACCCGACCUGAAAAGGAAGAGUUUGAUUUCACUCUUUCACCUCUUAAACUCGUUUCAAGCGGCAUUCAUCUUAGCAAGACUAUUCUUAUCUUCAGUCUUCAGACUCCCUUCUGUCGCUCGACAUAACUACACUAUCCGGAAUUAUCCUAUAUCAGGAGCUACAUAUGCUCUGCCCUUUCGCUUUCCGACCCCUCUUUCUCCGUUGAAGCAUUCCCAGAUACCACCAACUUGGUUCUUGUUAUCUCCUUCCUCCCCAUGCGUGAAGACAAGGUCUGAGUUCACUUUCUAUUGAGCCUACUCCUUUUUACCUUCUUUGACUGGGACGACGUGACACGCAAUGGAUCGCUUAGAAAGGAGAACAAAUGGAUCACAUGUCCCCUUCUCAAAAGCCUUGGGUUGACCAAGGAUAGGAAAUCGAAUAGAUUUUGGGGCAUUCUGACCAUCUCCGUUAUUCUCCCCUUUAAGUAAGGAUUGAGAGGUCCCCGCCUACCAGCCACCACUCAAAGGAUAACAGAGAUCCGGAACGAAAAGUAAAUCAAAAGUCUCUUACAACUUUUACCAAGGUGGUUUACUUGCUUACUUGUUAGAGAGAAGAGGAUGUUUGUGUAUGGAUGGAACUAAGAGCUUAGGGGGAAGAGGUAGGACUAGACAAACAAGCCAGCCAUUCGCCCUAUGUAAACUAGAGUAUGGAAGUGGAACUCAAUCCAGUCUGCUCUGCUCUCAUCCAGCAAGCUCUCUAACACUAACUAGUACUAACCUCUCUUUAGCCUAUCUGUCCUCUUCGCUACCUCUCAACAGUAAACUAGUCGCUUAGCUUUCUAACAAAGCAAGUAGCUAGCGUAUCUCUUCCCUCUUCGAGCCAACCGUUCACUUCCUCUAACGAGCGAGGAAACUUCGUUCACCACUUACUACGUUCUUUCAAAACCUUAGAUUCCCUCAAAGCAAAGGUGUGGAGUAGCGCUAGCUAACAAGUAAACGAGUAAAUAUUGCGUAAGUAAAGGGAAUGCUGUUGGCAUCUUCGAGCCAAGCUGGAGUUCUUGGUCGAGUAAGCCGGGUUACUAAUCAGUCUUCUCAUCUCUAAGACACCUAAUUCCUAACAAACUACGCACCUUCUUGUACUUCCAGCCAAGUAAGGCAAACCAGUUGCUGUUGUUGAGUUGAACAAACAGUAGUCAGAUAAUAGGCGGAUGGAAGAAAGAAAAGGGCAGCCCUUGCUUAGUUUGGCAAGCUCCUUCCUUUGUUGAGCUCUGUCAUACCGCUCUUCUAUCUCUUUCAUUGGCGCAAUCUUCUUUGAAUUCAAUAAAUAAUUGCGAUUUACUUUUAUGAAAGAUAUCUCCUCCUUUAAUCUAAUCAGUAUAUUACUUAUGAGUAAGGAACUCUCCGAAAGGAAGGGAAGGUAAACAGGAGUUAACGGCAGGCGCAAUAGAAAGGCAGUUGGAGACAGGCGAUAGGCUUAGAUCAGAUGCAAAGCAAGCUCAGUCUCAAUAUGCGCAUUAGAGAAGGGGGGUUGGCGCUUCGGUCAAGAGGCUAGCUAGUGUCCCACCUUCCUGUCUUGACUGGUAGGCACAAUCCCUUGAGUCUAGUUCUUGAGCGAAGGAAUCGCUUUCAAUGACAAUUUCUCUUUAGAAAUCAGCCCUCUUCAAGCUGUCGAAUAUAGAUAGGAGAUCCACUUCAAGUUCAAGGCUGGCAACAAGCAUAAGUGCAAUCGCAAUCCCUAUGAAUAUCAUUAAUCAAUAUCUCUCCGGCCUCUAGCACUCUGUUAUGGCGCAAUCACUGACUCUAGUUCUGGAGUUCUAGGUCCUCUAGCUAUUAGUGCUGGUAGCUCUCCUUCUGGUAAUGCAUUAUAGGCUGUCUUCCUUCCACCUCUCUCUAUCGCCCUUCCUUCUUUUAGCAGCUCAUCUCGAAUCUUGAAUGUUUAGCGAAUCGAUCGUAAUUGGUCUGACCGCUCAAGGCUUAUCUCUCUAUUCCCUUUCUGGUCUCCGGUCAUUGGUAGAAAGCCUGUAAAUUGAAUUUCUCUCCUCUCCCACCUCUCCGGCUUGGGAAUACUUCUGGCUAUAUAUCUGUAGUCACAAUGCCAGUUCAAGCUAUCUUCUAGAUAGAGCAAGAUAAGUAUGCGCAAGUGCAGUAGUUCAAGGCAGGCAGGUAAGGGCAGGUAGUAAAGGCAAGCGCAUAGGCAGGGGAUAGGCAUUCAAUCACUAUCUUCAAAUAGCAUAUAUAAGAGAAAGAUGAUGAUGAUGCACGAGCCACUCUUUCUGAAAGUUAAAUAAAGGCAUCCCUUCUCAGAUCAAUUGUAUGGUGUAUGGUCGAUGUAUGAAGAGAAACAAAGGGUGGCAAGGUCAAAGACAAAGACCACGCCAAACAUUGAAAGUUGAGUUCUCGUGAUGUCUGCUGCUUCAAGCUCGGAAAUCCCACUACUGAAUUAUCUCCAUUUCCAGGUCUUCCUACUAAAAGAAUCCUAUUUAUAUAGGAUAAAGCAAAGCACAUAGGUCUAAUUGCGCAGUGUAUAAUCUUUCCUUUCAUCUUAUAUUCUCUUGCUUGAGCGGAUUAGCCUAUCGAUUGAUGGUCCUAGGCUAUCUGGUUGUAUUAUAGCUCGGGUAGGUAAGGUUCAAGUAGUAGUAAGGAGUAAGUAUACAUAUUUGAUAUUUCAUUCGUGAGUGUGUUAACACGAGAAGGGAGGUAGGCGGGUAUCGAUUCAAAGCUCGAGUACGUGGUCAAGUUCGUUCAUCAGAAGUCGUGGACAAGGAGAGAACUCGACAUCGUGCAAUUCCCAGCGAUCUGGUCAAUUUAUUUCCGCGAGACGCUGCUCUACUCUUUUGAUUUAGAUGCUUUUGAAACAGCUUAUUCUUCUUCGGACUCGAAUGCCCACGGAGCGGUAUUCUUUCAAACAGUUGCUAUUGCAUUUGGUCUCGCUAUGCUAGGCUAGCUUGAUUAAGAAUGCGCUUAAAGCUCUAGGGUUUGGUGAGGAGCACUAUUGCCCUGUCGUAUUGUUCCUUAUAACCCUAUGCCAAACUAAGGCACGGGGCUCUACUACGUCAUAUUUGGAAAAACUCUUAAUCUUAGCCUCACCCUUGCAUUUGCUUUCUUUCGCGAACGAAUCCAUCUUCUUAUAUGUGAAUGUCACUAUCAGAUCGUGAUUGGGAUCGUAACGACGAGCAGGACAACUAUGCCCUGUAUCAACGUUCAGUGUUCGCCACACCCGAAACAAGCAGCUUCACGUGCCCGCUCAUGCACGAGGGAUUAAACAUUUGUUAUAGAUGUUUGAUUUUCGAUUCAACAUCUGCCGGGCAAUUGAUCACCACAUGCAGUUCCGUAUCACGUGAAACUGAUGUGGUCAUUUUCAAAAAAAUGGCUGAGAUAUGCAAUCUGGAUUUCCUAUAUUGUGGCAGUCGGGAAAAGAAGGAAGGGAGGUUAGGUUGGUAUAGAGCAAAGCCAUGGCUUUGGAGCGCACUUAAAGCUACAAAGCAAAGAAGGCAAGGAUCGCACGUGGAAAAAGUAGGCCUCUAAGAGUAAGAGAGAGAGGCCUUGAUAGGACGGUAACAAGUCGGUGGGGAAGGGCCUGCUGAAUGGGGCAAAAGUCUUCCAAAUAGGAAAGUGAACGAUGCCUCGAUAUCUACCACAUUUAAAUGGAUCGGAUCUUGAGGCCCGAUCACAAGGUCAAGAAAAGGACUCCACUCAACCCUCCAUGUUGAUGGAGGUUGGAUUCUCUAUGUAAUGUAUAGUUAGCUUUAAUGCUAGCUUCACGGGUUGAUGUAAGUAGAGAAAGGCUAAUUCGCAAUAGAGAUAUUUAGACCUUGUCAACCAGGGUAUACAGAGCCCCUACUUUGUACAAGCUCUAGAUCAUGUUCUAAAUUUCCCCGGUAUGUAGAGAAUAUUCGUUUUGCUUUGGUUCCAUUUAUUUUUAUUUGGCAUUCAGCGUAAGAACUAAAUCUUCCUAUCGCUCAUCCUAUGGGAAAAGGGAAAAGAUCUGCAUCAACUGUGUUCGCAUCAAUUUAUUAGCUUGAAGGAUGUACUGGUAUACUCUUCUCGAGUCUAUCUCUUUUCAAUAGGAUUCUUAUCUUCCUGCUCUGUAAGAUGUGAAGAAAGUCCGAGAUUGGAACCUUGGAGGGAGGUCCUGUUUUUCUUGUUUAUGCUGCUUUUUUCUGGUUAUAUUGUUUACUAAGAGAGAGUCUGGUUGAAGGCGAUGCCAUAAAAGGGAAUGGAACGGAAACUUCCUAUAAGGAAAUAGGAAAUCGCUGUCACCGCGGGACUGAUGUAAAAGAAACUGGGCAAUGGAACUCCUGGAGCUUCUCUGUGCCUGUCUUAUCGCUUUAUCGAUUUGAAACUGAAAGCUUGAAGCUUCUUUGCUUUUGCCAUUUAUCUAUCUAGCUGGCUCGCUAACUGCUAGUCUUUUAUUGGAAUAACUGCUAGGUUUUAUCUUAUCCUAUGGGGAUAACUAAGAGGCCUAGUCUUCUUACUAGAUUCUAUAUUAGGACACUCUUGGGGAAAGAUCGUUAGCCCAACCCUAUACAAACAUAUCAAAAGAAAAGCUCUAUGCUGCCACUCUCCCCUAGCUUUCUUGUCCAUCCCUUUCGCUAGUGCUGAGUACUUAAACUGGGUCAAUAGGAAUUGUUACUCCUGCUACACUUCAAUAGGAUAAAUGGCACUUGCUGUAAAAAACUCCGGGUCCUCCCUUGCUUCUGUCUAUCAUAUCGGUUACUCGAGCCGUUAACAACCGAUUCUAUUUCAUAGCAAACAAGCCUUCUCCAACAGCCUAGGAUGAUUCAAUUUCUAAGAGCGCAUUCUGCCCAGAAAUCCAUUCGAUGUUUAUUAGAGUCUAGGAUGAAUAUUCUUAACUGACUUCACCACCACUAUAAUCUCAACCAGUGCAUUAGCUAAGGCCAGUAACAACUCGAAAUAACAUAAGAUAUAAGAUAAGGAAUAAGGAAAGAGACCCCACCGAAUUCUUGUCAAUUCUUCUUUUGGUGGACCUUCGUCCGUAGCGUAUAGUUUGUAGUCGGUCUUUGGCAGCCUUUGGGACGAAAUCCCCAUUUUUCUUGAUCGGGACUAGCCCACGUCAGGGAAUGUAAUUGUAGGUCACACUGAUAAUUGUUCACUGUCUUGCUAUCUGAACUUGAAGUGAAGAUUCUGUUUGUGUUCCGUUUACCGCACCGCGGGUAGAAGAUCUAAUAUUCAAGAAUUCGUUUUGAGUUCGUUCUUUUUCAUGUCUUGGUUCACAGUUUAUCUGAAUCAGACUAAGAGCUUGGCAUCAACAAAGCAAAGCAAGGCCCCAUUGAGCUUAGCCUAGAGCAGAUCGAAAAGUUCUCGCGAAGCCGGGAACCCUUUGCCGAAGAUCCUUCUCUUUCUCUGUGAAGAUAGACUGCUGUUUAUUGCUUUGCGUGUCAAGUGCGAGAUUGGUUGAGAACCCUUCGCCACAGUGCUUUCAAGCUCCGUUUGGGCGCCCGUGUACUAGGGUUAAGGUGGAAGAUCGAAACGAAAUGGAAGUCAGCCUAUUAAUUAUCUAAUUAUAACCCAUUCAAUUCAGGUUUACAACAAAACAACAAUAUCAUAAGAGAAGAAAGAUCGUAGCGUAGAAAGAUUACCUCUUCCUUCCUUUCUUCAUCCUAGCACUAUGAGAUGAGAUUGAUCGUUUUUUUUCUUCUUCAUUUUUUUUCCGGUAUGCCGCUCCGCGAGCAAGCAAGGAGCGAGAGAAUAAAGUGGGCUGUGGUGAUGUUAGAAUUUGCACCUAUUUGUAUCUAUUUAGUGAUUAGUCUGCUAGUUUUUUUGAUCUUACGCGGGUUUGGUUCCAUGGGUUUGAGAAUUUCUCUAUUGUUCAUCACUCUGGUUUUGUUUUUUUAUUGGCUUUGUGAAACACUUGAAAUUGGAUCGUAUUUCGUUUGGCUUCUCUCCAAAGUAGGACUCCAUUUUUGGGUGCGCGUCCUUUGCCAGUUAUGCAUAAAACUGGGCUUUGGUGGGGGUCUGACCUUCGCCCUUGGGUUUAAAAGCAUUUCUAAGUAGCGAAUCCGCGUCUUUCUUUGAAAUGCGGGUUUCGCCUACUGGGCGGAAGCCGGCGUAAACCAACCUCCGGAAGGGCAUGAAGCCGGCCCUUCUAAUGUGGCCCCCGCGGACUCUCCUCUGGGGUCUUUUCCCUCAAUUCCCUCCUCUUUUACACCUAUACCAACCGAUCCUUCAAUCCCCUCUGUACCUUCACUCCCCUCCUUAGAGGAAAAUAACCUUUUUGAGAGGGAACAGUCGGUUGAAGGGCCAGCGCCACAGCAGGGGCCUCAAAUUCAAAUCCUCCCCUGUUCAGCAUGAGGAAUGGCUAGGGGAGGGAUGACCCAUUGGAUUCCAUUUUUGGGAAUGACCGUAGGCGCAGGACCCAAUUUGAAGUGGGUUACUUUCUAUCCUCUUUUGGGGUUCGGAGUUCUUCCAGGGACUUCACAGAUAGGGUUGGGGAAGAACUAGGGCUCCAGACGGCUUCCGAGCCGGAGCUGGAGCAAAUUCGGAUCUUUAUCCGACAACUUUCCCAACCCGAUGGAAGGCCCGCCUCCGCGCGGGAUGCCGCCGCCAUUCUAACGACCAGGUUCGAAGAAUGGAAGAGGGACAACCACUAAGUUAGGCCCCAGAGCCCACUAAUUCUAGUGCUUCCAAACGCCAGGUAGAUGCUACAUAGUUGGUUCUGGUUCUCAUCCUUCAGAGACUACGAGUGUAAUAGGAGCAUCCGUCGACAAAAGGAUCACCCUAAGAUGAGCAUCUCAUGGCUAUUGAGAACGAAUCAAAUCAGAUGGUUCUAUUUCUCAAUCUUUCUGACUUGCUCCUACGGAACCAAGGUCGAAAAGAUUGAGAAAAAUAGGUCAUUCACAACCACUGAUAAAGGAUUCCUCGAAAAGUUAAGGAUGAGUAAUCCUUUUUAGAAAUCGAAUGGGUUCGAUCUUAUCUUAUACAUACGCGAGGAAGGUAAUCAAAAAAGAAAGAAGACGUAAUGAGGGCCGGAAAAUCUUCUUAUAAUGGGAUAAAAGAAUAAUAGGAUGCUUAAGCCAAUAAGAUAGAUAAAGCAUACCCCUCGUAAAAAAAACUAUGUCACUUCCUUCCCAGCGUUCAGUGGAACGUGAGGCACUCUUUAUUGGCUUUCAGGCAAUGGAAGGGGCUAUUCCCACUACGCGCUAACUAGAAGAGCUGGAAAGAAGUAUGUAAGUUUCUGCCCUUCUUCGUCUCCACCCCUAUUCUCUGUGCGUCGGUGUGGCUAUCUUCUCCUAUGGAUUCUUUCCUUAAAAGGAAUUUUUUCUAUUUUAUUCUUUCUUCGGGAUUCAACGGCAAAAAGUCGACGUGAGGCACUAUUCCCACAGCAGCAGGUUGGAUUCUCCAACUUUUGCAAAUGAACCCCGUUCAAGUUCCAUCCCAACUGUCUCAUCUUGAGAAAAGGCAAUCCUCUACAGGAAGGGCCAAUGGCUACGUCCGUCGGUUCGUCUACCCGGACACCGUGCACUCCCGCAGCAUCCCAUAAUUACAUAUUAUGGUUGAGUCUAAACUGUUGCGCUCACUUAGUUAGGGCUUAGUCUCGACGGGAACCUCCCAUCUUGGGUAAGGGGCUCACUCCAUCGCCCUACUAGUCUCACUCUCCCCCUACGCUUUUGUGGGCUUCGGGAGCUCUGUCUUCUCCCCUUUCCCUUUGCUUUGGCUUUUUGCCUUAUCUCGUGCAAAUGAAAUAAUAGGAGAAAAGAGUUUUACAUCUCCAACUUGAUCUACGGUGCGAUCAGACCAAGUGCGAGAUUGGCAUCGAGGAAUUGCGUAUGAAAGGUUGUCUAUCUGAGACUAUCUAUCUAGUACGAUCGAUCCAGUCAUUCAGUACAGUAUCUUCGCUAGGUGUUGAUGGAAUUAUUAUAGCAGGUCGGUCUAGGUAGUUGAUAUUGCUCCUGAGAACUUCGUUGUUUCGAGUUUGUGCCCCAUGCUUUCUUUCGUUGGAAAAACCAAUAACCAAUCCAUUUCAAUUCGAAUUCUUCACUACUCAUACAGGCUUAACUCCGUUAAGCUGUCUGGAGGGAAUCCUUUUUUCUCAAUCAAGCAUGCCUCAACUGGAUAAAUUCACUUAUUUUACACAAUUUUUUUGGUUAUGUCUUUUCUUCUUUACUUUCUAUAUUUUGGUUUUCGUAUCAUGGAUCUUGGUUCGCGCUUUAAGGCAGUUCCCCAUUUAUGUAAUCAACCACAUGCUAAAUCUAAAUGCUUCUCAGGCGCCCGCUUCUUCCUCAUCUUCUUCAAAUUCUAAUAAUAACAGAAAGGAUAAAAGAAAAGAGAAGGAGGAUUGUUUACGCAAUCUUGUAUUUCAAGAAGUGGACGCGUAUUUAACAAAAUAAAAAAAAAAAUAGAAUUGCCGAGUUCCCCGGAGCUCACCCUUAUAUAGAAACACCCAGUUUCUUAAAUAAGGUAGCCUCUGAACUUCUCCGGGAUGCCGGAUUGAUACCCGCCCCUAAAAUGAACUUGCUUGAUUCGGUCCACAAAAAUUUACUACAGGCUUUCAACCUAGUCAAAAAAGAAGGAGAUAUAAAUAAUGAAAUCUACGAUUGUAUAAGAUGUCUUCUAAAAGAUUAUCGUUGACCCAGAAUUCCAAUUCCGUUUUGAGUUUGUUACUUAACUUGUAGUAAUUCUGUUUUUAUACGAGACCCGCCGGGUCGAUUUUGGGCGCUUGAAAUCAAAAAAUGAGGUUUGGUUUGUUUGAGUUUUGGUUUGUUUGAGUAAGGGAAACUUUGGCAGCAAGCUAAAAGUAAAGUAGUUGGAGCCAAAGGUGACAACGAGGCCCCCCAAGCCCAAGGCAAGGGGGGGGAAAGAAGAGUGGGUAUGCGGGCUUCUUUCGCUUGACUUUUUUUGCACUAGGUCACAACGAUCUCAAAAAAAGUGAAAGAAAAAUGAUAGGAUGUGCUCCGAAGGCCAGAGUUCGCAGAGUCGGGUAGUUCCGCUCAUUUAUUUCCGUUCGAGAUCCAUCGUCCUCGGGAGAGAGAGAAAGUAAUCGGCAGGGAGGCAUUACUCCCACCCGGAAAACGUGCAACCAACCUUUCCUCUCCUGCGCGGGCUCGGGGCUUCUAAUCAAAUAUUUCUAUUUUUCCUUUGAAUUACUCAUAUAUAUAUCCUAUGAAUUUCAUUUCGCACCGGAAACUCUUCUAGGAGAAGUUCGAAUCCGUUCCGUUCGGAUAUUGAUCGGUCUUGGUUUGACAUGGUUUACGUGUUACUGGUUCCCGGAAGAGUUAAUAUCUCCAUUAACUAAACCCUUUCUUACCCUGCCUUUGGACUCGUAUUUUGUUCGUACACAAUUA